rnacentral:rRNA from 1 species
AUUGAACGCUGGCGGCGUGCCUAACACAUGCAAGUCGAACGAGUGGCGGACGGGUGAGUAGUUCAUUGGAACCUGCCUAAUCUAGGGGGAUGACUGGUGUAAACGGUAGCUAAUACCGCAUACCACCCUAUCUGCCCAGGUGGGAGUAGCUAGUUGCUGGGGUAACGGCUCACAAAGGCGACGAUCCCUAGCGGGUCUGAGAGGAGGAUCAGCCACACUGGAACUGAGACACGGCCCAGACUCGUACGGGAGGCAGCAGUGGGGAAUAUUGCACAAUGGGCGAAAGCCUGAUCGAGCAAUGCCGCGUGUAUGAAGAAGGCCUUCGGGUUGUAAAGUACUGUUAGCAGGGAAGCGGUACCUGAAGAAAAAGCCACGGCUAACUACGUGCCAGCAGCCGCGGUAAUAC